rnacentral:lncRNA from 1 species
UACUUUGUUCUUGAUUUUUUUUUCUCUAAAGAAUUUUUUACGUAAAUCUUUAUUUUCAUUCUUCUUUUACAGCUUUAUGGUUUGUUUACUUUACGAUCGUCGUUUUCAUUUUUGUUUAUAUUCCUAUUAUAAUAAUUAAAAAUAUAAAGCAAUUAAGAGUUAAUUUAAACUUGAAAUUUCAGGUACAAACUAUCAAGCCUUAAGCUAACCGUGUUAGCUAUGAGAGAGAGAGAGAGAGAGAGAGAGAGGAUAUG